rnacentral:rRNA from 1 species
UACGAAGGGGGCUAGCGUUGCUCGGAAUCACUGGGCGUAAAGCGCACGUAGGCGGACUGUUAAGUCAGGGGUGAAAUCCUGGAGCUCAACUCCAGAACUGCCUUUGAUACUGACGGUCUUGAGUUCGGGAGAGGUGAGUGGAACUGCGAGUGUAGAGGUGAAAUUCGUAGAUAUCGGGAGGAACACCGGUGGCGAAGGCGGCGACCUGGGUCGAGACUGACGCUGAGGCGCGAAAGCGUGGGGAGCAAACAGG